rnacentral:rRNA from 1 species
UUCCGUAGGUGAAUCUGCGGAAGGAUCAUUACCGAGUGAGGGCCCUCUGGGUCCAACCUCCCACCCGUGUUUAUUUUACCUUGUUGCUUCGGCGGGCCCGCCUUAACUGGCCGCCGGGGGGCUUACGCCCCCGGGCCCGCGCCCGCCGAAGACACCCUCGAACUCUGUCUGAAGAUUGAAGUCUGAGUGAAAAUAUAAAUUAUUUAAAACUUUCAACAACGGAUCUCUUGGUUCCGGCAUCGAUGAAGAACGCAGCGAAAUGCGAUACGUAAUGUGAAUUGCAAAUUCAGUGAAUCAUCGAGUCUUUGAACGCACAUUGCGCCCCCUGGUAUUCCGGGGGGCAUGCCUGUCCGAGCGUCAUUGCUGCCCUCAAGCCCGGCUUGUGUGUUGGGCCCCGUCCCCCGAUCUCCGGGGGACGGGCCCGAAAGGCAGCGGCGGCACCGCGUCCGGUCCUCGAGCGUAUGGGGCUUUGUCACCCGCUCUGUAGGCCCGGCCGGCGCUUGCCGAUCAACCCAAAUUUUUAUCCAGGUUGACCUCGGAUCAGGUAGGGAUACCCGCUGAACUUAAGCAUAUCAAUAAGCGGAGGAA